rnacentral:rRNA from 1 species
AGUGAACGCUGGCGGUAGGCCUAACACAUGCAAGUCGAACGGCAGCACAGUAAGAGCUUGCUCUUACGGGUGGCGAGUGGCGGACGGGUGAGGAAUACAUCGGAAUCUACUUUUUCGUGGGGGAUAACGUAGGGAAACUUACGCUAAUACCGCAUACGACCUACGGGUGAAAGCAGGGGAUCUUCGGACCUUGCGCGAUUGAAUGAGCCGAUGUCGGAUUAGCUAGUUGGCGGGGUAAAGGCCCACCAAGGCGACGAUCCGUAGCUGGUCUGAGAGGAUGAUCAGCCACACUGGAACUGAGACACGGUCCAGACUCCUACGGGAGGCAGCAGUGGGGAAUAUUGGACAAUGGGCGCAAGCCUGAUCCAGCCAUACCGCGUGGGUGAAGAAGGCCUUCGGGUUGUAAAGCCCUUUUGUUGGGAAAGAAAAGCAGCAGGUUAAUACCCCGCUGUUCUGAUGGUGCCCAAAGAAUAAGCACCGGCUAACUUCGUG